GUGAGGAAUAUUGGUCAAUGGGCGGGAGCCUGAACCAGCAAUGCCGCGUGCAGGAAGAAGGCCUUCGGGUUGUAAACUGCUUUUGUACGGAACGAAAAGGCUCUGGUUAAUACCUGGGGCUCAUGACGGUACCGUAAGAAUAAGCACCGGCUAACUACGUGCCAGCAGCCGCGGUAAUACGUAGGGUGCAAGCGUUAAUCGGAAUUACUGGGCGUAAAGCGUGCGCAGGCGGUUUUGUAAGACAGACGUGAAAUCCCCGGGCUCAACCUGGGAAUGGCGUUUGUGACUGCAAAGCUGGAGUGCGGCAGAGGGGGAUGGAAUUCCGCGUGUAGCAGUGAAAUGCGUAGAUAUGCGGAGGAACACCGAUGGCGAAGGCAAUCCCCUGGGCCUGCACUGACGCUCAUGCACGAAAGCGUGGGGAGCAAACAGGAUUAGAUACCCCGGUAGUCC
rnacentral:rRNA from 1 species